rnacentral:rRNA from 1 species
AGAGUUUGAUCCUGGCUCAGAUUGAACGCUGGCGGCAGGCCUAAUACAUGCAAGUCGAACGGCAGCAGGGUGGAAGCUUGCUUUCACUGACUGGCGAGUGGCGGACGGAUGAGUAAGAUCUGGGAAACUGCCUGAUAGAGGGGGACAACAGCUGGAAACGGCUGCUGAUACCGCAUGAACCCUGAGGGGGAAAGGAGCAAUCCGCUAUCAGAUGUGCCCAGAUGGGAUUAGCUGGUAGGUGAGGCAAAGGCUCACCUAGGCGAUGAUCUCUAGCUGGUCUGAGAGGAUGAUCAGCCAUAUUGGGACUGAGACACGGCCCAGACUCCUACGGGAGGCAGCAGUAGGGAAUAUUGCACAAUGGGGGGAACCCUGAUGCAGCCAUGCCGCGUGUGUGAAGAAGGCCUUCGGGUUGUAAAGCACUUUCAGUGGGGAGAAGAGAGAUGUUACCCACAGAAGAAGCACCGGCUAAAUACGUGCCAGCAGCCGCGGUAAUACGUAUGGUGCAAGCGUUAUCCGGAUUUACUGGGUGUAAAGGGAGCGUAGACGGAUGUGCAAGUCUGGAGUGAAAGCCCGGGGCUCAACCCCGGGACUGCUUUGGAAACUGUAUAUCUUGAGUGCUGGAGAGGUAAGUGGAAUUCCUAGUGUAGCGGUGAAAUGCGUAGAUAUUAGGAGGAACACCAG